UUAAACAAAAGUGGCGCAGGCCUAAACAUGCAAGUCUCACGGUAACAGGAAGCAGCUUGCUGCUUCGCUGACGAGUGGCGGACGGGUGAGUAAUGUCUGGGAAACUGCCUGAUGGAGGGGGAUAACUACUGGAAACGGUGGCUAAUACCGCAUAACGUCGCAAGACCAAAGAGGGGGACCUUCGGGCCUCUUGCCAUCAGAUGUGCCCAGAUGAGAUUAGCUAGUUGGUGAGGUAACGGCUCACCAAGGCGACGAUCCCUAGCUGGUCUGAGAGGAUGACCAGCCACACUGGAACUGAGACACGGUCCAGACUCCUACGGGAGGCAGCGGUGGGGAAUAUUGCACAAUGGGCGCAAGCCUGAUGCAGCCAUGCCGCGUGUAUGAAGAAGGCCUUCGGGUUGUAAAGUACUUUCAGCGGGGAGGAAGGUGUUGUGGUUAAUAACCGCAGCAAUUGACGUUACCCGCAGAAGAAGCACCGGCUAACUCCGUGCCAGCAGCCGCGGUAAU
rnacentral:rRNA from 1 species